rnacentral:rRNA from 1 species
UACGUAGGGGGCGAGCGUUGUCCGGAUUUAUUGGGCGUAAAGAGCUCGUAGGCGGCUUAGCAAGUCUGGUGUGAAAGCCCUCGGCUUAACCGAGGAAGUGCGCCCAAAACUACUAGGCUUGAGUACCGGAGAGGAUGGUGGAAUUCCCGGUGUAGAGGUGAAAUUCGUAGAUAUUAGGAAGAACACCAGUGGCGAAGGCGGCUCACUGGCCCGGUACUGACGCUGAGGCGCGAAAGCGUGGGGAGCAAACAGG